rnacentral:ncRNA from 1 species
UGACCUGAGAUCAGUCGUGAUUACCCACUGACAUUAAGCAUAUCACUAAGCGGAGGAAAAGAAACUAACCAGGAUUCCCCUAGUAACGGCGAGUGAAGAGGGAUUAGCUCAGCACCGAAGCCUGCGGUAGGUUAACUGCUAGGAAAUGUGAUAUUUGGGUCGACUCGCGGGAUUUGCACUCCAAUCGAUGUCCAGCACUGGGUAUGGUUUGCUGGAUUUGGCCCAGAGAGGGUGAAAGGCCCGUGCGAGUGGAGGUUCGGAAAUGUGAGACAAUUCACUACGUCGACCUUCGAGUCGGGUUGUUUGAGAAUGCAGCCCAAAGUGGGUAGUAAAAUCCAUCCAAGGCUUAAUCCAAGCAUGAGUCCGAUAGCAAACAAGGUCCGUGAGGGAAAGUGUAAAGUUUUUGAAGAGGGAGAGAGAUUUAACAGUACGUGAAACCGCAUAUAAGUAAACGGGUUGCCUCAAGCUGCAAACCUAGAGGAUUCAGUUGGUCGGGGUGUAUGCACACCUGGCACGUCUUUCGGACGAGCAGUUCACUACGAAAAGGUGGGCCUGGCAUUCCCUCGGGAGGGAGAGGAUCAGCGUUCUGGGAAAUUACCGGAGCCAAAUCGGGUUUGGUCGGUGGCUCCUCUGGGGUCGUUGGCUGAGCUUCGAUCAUAACAGGCGAAUUCAGUGAGUGGCAUGUGUAUGCAUUUGCAUGCGCGCUUGUUAUCGAGCACUAGUCGUCAAAGGGUCUGUCUGUCAGUUGUGUUUUUGCAGUCAAGGCGGAUGUCCUGGUGGACUACUAGGGUUGUCGUUCUCUAGGUGCUGGCUCGUGCGCACACUCCAUGUGGGCGUGGGGUGUUGCUGUAGGCCGCCAAUAGCUGGGUCUGAUCGUUGUGUUGCCUGCGCAAAGCGGGUCCGGCGGUAGUCUGGUGUUGGAUGGCCUUACCUGGAAUGCUUCCUGUAUGAGUCGGCAUGGGCCAAACAGUCUGUGGUGUUGUGAAAGACGAGCAACGCGACCCGUCUUGAAACACGGACCAAGGAGUUUAUCAUGCACGCGAGUCAGUGUGUCCCACGAAACCCCAAGGCACAGUGAAAGGGAAGUCUUGACUUGUUCUCCGGAUGUGGUGAGAUGCCACUGUUUUUCGCACCCUGCCUUGCGCCUACAGCACCAGACACAAGAGCAGUGGUCGCAUCACUGGCCCGUCUCAUGAUGUGGUCGUUGGAAAUGCGCGGUAACUCAACCGAACACGUAGACAUCGGCUGGAGUUCCGGGAAGAGUUUUCUUUUCUUUGUAAAGAGUGCUCACCACUCCUGGAAUCGGGUUGUCCGGAUAUAGGGGUAUCACCUGCGUACAGCACCACCCCUCUUGUGGUGUCCAGAACACUCUGGUCGCUCCUUGAAAAUCCGAGGAAGGCAUUAUGAUUUUCGUGGCAGGCCGUACCCAUAUCUGCAUCAGGUCUCCAUGGUGAAGAGCCUCGGGCAAUAUAAUAAUGUAGGUAAGGGAAGUCGGCAUAUGUGAUCCGUAACCUCGAAACAAUGAUAAUUGUUUAGUGUACAACGAAUAAAAUCAUCGUUCCUCUUACUUGUUGAUCGUUUUGGUCCACCCUGCUUUCUUCUAGGCACGGUUCGAUCAUUAAUAAUGCGUGACAGAGAGACCUUACUGAUAUCUAAAAUACUAGCUAAUGACUCACGUGGCACUCCUUCUGCUGCAAGUUUCCGUAUUUGUUCAUAGUCAACUGCAGAUAGCUAUUGU